rnacentral:rRNA from 2 species
GGUUAAGCGACUAAGCGUACACGGUGGAUGCCCUGGCAGUCAGAGGCGAUGAAGGGCGUGCUAAUCUGCGAUAAGCGCCGGUAAGGUGAUAUGAACCGUUAUAACCGGCGAUACCCGAAUGGGGAAA